CCCGCUGAAUUUAACCAUAUAAAUAAGCGGAGGAAAAGAAACCAACAGAGAUUCCCUUAGUAGCGGCGAUCGAACCGGGA
rnacentral:ncRNA from 1 species